GAAUGGGGAGGGGGGGAAGUCUCGUCUGGAGGGGGAACAGCUCAUGCACGGGACCGGGCAAAACACAUAGUAAGGCACGCACACAGAGGUACGUGCGCAAUCUUGGCGUUUGGCCUUCAGGAAGGUUCGAAUACGCGUUCGUGUGCGUGUAGUAGCGUGGUAGAUGUGUGCCAGCGGGUGUAACAGCCAACCAACUACUUAACUAACUAACCACUAACCGAGACUCACCCCCUGCCCAAUUGCCCAAUGCAAUGGCAAUGGCUCCUACCAACCUCCCGGAUCCACCGCCUUCCUUUCGAACGGCCCCCUGUCCCCUGCCUGGUUUGCGCCUCACCUCACCUCACCUCACCUCACCUCACCUCACCUCACCUCACCUCACCUCACCUCACCUCACCUCACCUCACCUCACCUCACCUCACCUCACCUCACCUCAACUCACCUCACCUCACCUCACCUCACCUCACCUCACCUCACCUCACCUCACCUCACCUCACCCCACCUCACCUCACCUCACCCCACCUCACCCCACCUCACCCCACCUCACCUCACCCCACCUCACCCCACCUCACCUCACCUCACCUCACCUCACCUCACCUCACCUCACCUCACCUCACCUCACCUCACCUCACCUCACCUCACCU
rnacentral:lncRNA from 1 species